CCGCUGUCUGUCAUGUCUCCUCCGGGCGCGGGGUGCUAACUGAGACACUGGCGGGGUGGGGAGAGCCAGAGGUGCGGGGAGGGACCGGGAGAUGGGUGUUUGGUGAGCUCUUCCUCUCUCUCCCCCCUUCUUCCCACCCCUUCCCCCUUCUCGCUCUCUGUCUCUCAAGGACGAGGUGAAAUCCCUUGGCUGGUCAUGAGGCGGCUUCAGAGACAAACAACACAAUGCGAGUGCAAAUAACAAAAGGGGGAAAAAAAAAAGAAAAGAAAAAAAAAAGGAGAGGGAGACCGGGAACAAUGGGGGAGGAGAGGCUCGCCGCGCCGCGCCUGGCCGCCGCCGGCACCCCGGCAGGCAGCGGCAGCAGCAGGAGGAGGAGGAGGCGGAGGAGGAAGGCGAUAUGGUGACAGCGGGGAGGGGGCUGCGCGGGGAGUCCCCCCGGCUCGGCGGGGCUGCCUCACACCGUCCCCGACCUCCUCCCGCCGGUGAGGAGCCCAUGGGCCAAGGCUGAGCACCAGACAGCCCCAGGACGUGCUGGGAUACAGGGAGAGCUCCUGGCAGGGACACCUGAGGUUCAGCUCCUGCUGGCACCAGCUCAGGGCCCUGUGCAGAAGAGUCAAAGCAGGAAAGAAGGCCAGAAGAGAAGAUGGCAGGCCAUGAGGAUGAAAUCAAAAUAGAAGCAAGAAGUUAAGUGGCACACUGGGACACUCAGAAAAUUAUCUUUUAGACAAAUAAAUUUUUUUUUUAAUCCUCACUAAGAA